UCCUCCAUCGCCACCUGCCUCAGCCCCCCUCCAACUUGUGUUCAGACUGAUCUACCACCUGGUGGUCUUCUGUCCAUACUGCAUCUCCACUGUCCUCAUGGUGUCUUUAUAUCGACACAGGGCCACAGGAAAUGACCUGCCCGUCUCUAUGGUGAUGACCCCGCCCCCCCAGGCUGAUGAGGGAUUGAAUAAUGACUAUGAUGACAUCAUCACUGCUGUCACCACAGAGCAUCACUUCUGAGCUGAUCCAGUGUGUUGUGGUUCUUAAAUGAAGAUAAAAUCUUUACGUCGUCAGCAAAUAAACCUCAGACCCCUGGACAAAUGGACAAAGCUGUCGACAUGUUUUUGGUCCAAAUAAAAGCUCAGGUUCAG